rnacentral:rRNA from 1 species
GUUCUCCCCCUCCUUCCCUCCCUCCCUCCCUCCGCCGUCCCGUCCCAAAGGGGUUUGAUUUGAUUUGAUCCGUGGAGGAGGGUGACGCAGAGGCAACGUGGAGCAAAUAAUGCAGUCCUGAGGUAGCAGUACCAGUACUCCAGUAGUGGUAGUUUUUCUCUGGGCUUGGGGGCGUGCUGCUGCUGCUGGUGAAAGAUCUUGAUUGGGGCGAGCGAGACCGGGGUGGUUGUCAUGAUGCGCCGUAGGGUCCAGCGCCGGGGUGGUUGCUGAUGCCGUGAUUGGGCUUGGGUUUCUUUCAAGGUGAUAUACUAGAUCUCAUCUCAUCGCCCAGGGAUGAGAUUUGAGGGGGAGGCAGACCUUGUGCCGAGGGCCUGAGGCAGCAGAGCUUCUCUCCGGUUGAUGGGGCCGCCUGCUCCGCCGACGACGUCCCCGGCACCACGGCUCGCCGGGUUCGAGGGGGAGCUCCGUGGCGCUCCGGCGCGCUGCUGAUCGGGCUUCUGGGAGGAGGAGGAGGAGGAGGAAUUCUGCUGUCUUUCCUAUUGUUUUCGGAGGAGGAAGAAGUGAAGGGGGGAUACCACAACUUGAUCUUUGGUCCCUCAUCAAGUGGCAGCAGCUUUGCCGUGCGAGUAGGAGGAGGAGGAGCGCCGGAGAUCUUCGGCUCUGGCAUGGGCUCUUUUGGGAUGGAGUGGAACCAGAGGAGCUCGGUGCUGUGGGACUGGGAGAAUUUCCCGCCGAUAGGCGAGAACCCCAAGAAUGCGAUGCAGGCCGAUCCAAGAUUUGCCGCCGUUGCGGCUACCAUGGGGAACGAACCGCUCCAUUCUUCUGGCGGCAGCGGCAGCGGCAACUUCUCUUCCAGCUCGGAGAUGGGAUAUGGCUCUUCCAAGAGCUCCAUGUCCGCGUCGAUCGAUUCUUCGUCCAAGGCUGGGAACAACAUGGAGUUCAGAUUUGCGCCCGUCAAAAACACUGAUAGGAACAUGAGCAAGAAUACCGAGCUGGGUAAAGUUGAUAACACGAGAACUGGAACAUCUCCGUCGCCUGUGGUGGCAGUGAGCAGUGGGGAGCCGGUGAUCGGCCUGAAGCUCGGCAAGAGAACCUACUUCGAGGAUGUCUGUGGAGGGCAGAGUGUCAAGAGCUCGCCAUCGGGUGCUGUGAGCGCGCCAAACAAAUCUCCUGCUGUGGGCAAGAAGGCAAAGGCGGAACAACAGAAGCCACAUAACUCAUACUGUCAGGUUGAAGGCUGCAAAGCCGAUCUCUCUACUGUUAAAGAUUACCAUCGGAAGCACAGAGUCUGUGAACUUCACGCUAAGGCUCCCAAAGUUGUUGUCGCUGGUCUGGAGCGACGCUUUUGCCAACAGUGCAGCCGGUUUCAUGCUUUAGCCGAGUUUGACCAGAAAAAGCGAAGCUGCCGUAGGCGUCUCAAUGAUCAUAAUUCCCGCAGGCGCAAGCCACAGCCAGAAGCAAUUUCUUUCAGUUCAUCAAGGAUGUCUACAAUGUUUUAUGAUGCAAGGCAACAGCCAAAUUUCCUAUUCGGUCAGGCUCCUUAUGUUCAAAUGAGAAGCUGUGGAAGUUCUUCAUGGGAUGACCCAGGAGGCUUCAAAGUUACACACACAAAAGCUCCUUGGUUAAAGCCAACAACUGCUGCAGGUGUUCAUGGGAUGCAUUUAUCUAGUCAGCAGAUGUCGGACAAUAUUAUGCCGCAUGGUGCACAUCAUGGUUUCGAUGGGUUCAUGUCAUUCAAGGGAACUUGUACAAAGUUCCCUAAUCAAGGUGUCCAAGCUUCUGCUGUUGCUUCCGACUCCAGUGGAGCCCCGGAUCUUCAGCAUGCUCUCUCUCUUCUGUCAAGCAACCCAGUGGGUGCUGCCAACCUCCAGCCAAGUCCCCAGAUGCACUCUGGGGUGGCAGCCAUUGCCGGCGCCCCCAACCCCGCGAUGCACGCGCUGGGAUCAUCGGUGGGGCUCUGGCUAGACGGCGGCCAGCCCCUCGAUGAUCACCCGCGGUUCCAGGUCUUCGAGCGCUGGGGGGACCAUGACAGCGAGCUCCAGCUCCCAAAGCCUUCCUACGACCAUGCCUCGCACUUCGACCGGAUGCACUGAUGAUGGCUCCGGUCCACUGGGUGCGUGAUUUUGUCACGCGAUCAACGCCCGUUUCUUCGGCCUGAAACUCGGAAUGCUGAAUUUACUUUGCUUUGACGCCGUUGCCUGCCUCGAGGCCUAUGGUUUUGGCAAUGCCUAGAAUAAAGGCGCACACGAAACAGACUUAGGAUCAAAGUGACCCAGUCGUGUUGCCAUGGAAAAAGAUCUUGAUCCAUCAUUUAGCCAUUUGUCUGAAUAAUUCUGAACUUGCUAUGUUUCUGAAUUGCUUCUGCAACUGUAACUGAUCAUGGUUUUAAAUUUUUGAUGAUG